GGUGGUUUGUCGCGUUGUUCGUGAAAACUCACAGCUUAACUGUGGGCGUGCGGGCGAUACCGGGCAGACUAGAGUACUGCAGGGGAGACUGGAAUUCCUGGUGUAGCGGUGGAAUGCGCAGAUAUCAGGAGGAACACCGGUGGCGAAGGCGGGUCUCUGGGCAGUAACUGACGCUGAGGAGCGAAAGCGUGGGGAGCGAACAGGAUUAGAUACCCUGGUAGUCCACGCCGUAAACGGUGGGUACUAGGUGUGGGUUUCCUUCCUUGGGAUCCGUGCCGUAGCUAACGCAUUAAGUACCCCGCCUGGGGAGUACGGCCGCAAGGCUAAAACUCAAAGGAAUUGACGGGGGCCCGCACAAGCGGCGGAGCAUGUGGAUUAAUUCGAUGCAACGCGAAGAACCUUACCUGGGUUUGACAUGCACAGGACGCCGGCAGAGAUGUCGGUUCCCUUGUGGCCUGUGUGCAGGUGGUGCAU
rnacentral:rRNA from 1 species